GCCUGCUGCCCUCCACAUAAGAUGUGACUUGUUCUUCUUUGCCUUCUGCCAUGAUUGUGAGGCUUCCCCCGCCAUGUGGAACUGACAAGCUGUGAAAUGCCUAGAUUCCAGAGCAACAGACUGUGAUCCAUUCCCAACAACCCCUCCCUACCGUCUGCCACCAGUUCCCUUAAAGCAGGAAUCAGAGCUAGACUGACUCAACUAAGAAUUGUUUUGGAGAACUUGGAACUCAACAUUCCAUAAAGCAAGAAGCUUGACAUAGCAUCGAUGAGCCCAAGUCAACUAUAUGAACAAAACAAUGUCUCAGGAGGGGCAGGGUAUCACGUCAGAAGAAUCCUGAGUCCUUAGAUGACCUUGUAGAAAAGAGCCACAAACUUACUCUGGGCUACCUUCAUACCUCUGAACUAUUAUGCAGAGAGAAAUAAAUGUAUUCAAAUCACUGUUUUUUGGGUUUCUUCAUUCAUGUAGCUUAGCCUAUAACCUAAGUAA
rnacentral:lncRNA from 10 species